UACGUAGGGGGCUAGCGUUGUCCGGAAUCAUUGGGCGUAAAGAGCGUGUAGGCGGUCCGGUAAGUCCGCUGUGAAAGUCGGGGGCUCAACCCUCGAAUGCCGGUGGAUACUGUCGGGCUAGAGUGCGGAAGAGGCGAGUGGAAUUCCUGGUGUAGCGGUGAAAUGCGUAGAUAUCUGGAGGAACACCGGUGGCGAAGGCGGCAUCCUGGACCAACACUGACGCUGAGGAGCGAAAGCCAGGGGAGCAAACGGG
rnacentral:rRNA from 1 species